rnacentral:ncRNA from 1 species
AUGGUAGAGGCGCUGUUUAUGAAGAGUAGCUAUAAGGAGCCGGCAGGCAUUGAUAAGUAGUGAAAGGCAUAACAGCCGAAGGGAUAAACUAGGCAUAAGUUUAUUUCUGGGCAUGUAUAAAAUAUAUACAUGACUGUCACGUUAGUGGAGAGCUACAAG